CCCGCGCGCGGCCGCCGCCGACCCUAUUUCAAACUCCAACCGCCCCAGCGCGUUCCCAGUCCGGGCUGAGCCGAGUCGCGCCAGUGAUUCAGAAAUGAAGAUUAGCAAUACCCUCCCCAUGCAGCCGAUACCUGCAUCUAGACAACAAUGUGGAAAACUACCAAGGCACAGGUCUCACGGUGGAAUCUACAUAUUAAAAGGGACCACAGCCUGACACCCUCUACAUCAGUACCACCUCUGAGAAGGAAGAUGAGGAAUGUUUCAGCGGGUAUUUUUCUACACCAGAAUAAAGGCAGUCACUUCAGUGUUUUGCUGAAGUAAACCCACGGGAUGUUUGCUGCUGAGCGCGUUAUUGACAUGUGUCCAAAGCCAUUCGAGGAAGAAAUGUCAGAGUCUGUAACAGUUCGAGAACUCCUGUAUAUCAGGUCAAACAUCCUGCCUUUGACAACUGAGAUUACGCAAGGCGCAGAUCACCAUAAUAAUGUGGGACAACAGAUACUACAUGUCACUGAUUCAACACAUCCAACCCUCACAUUCAGGAGACCUGUGUUAUAUUCUACACUGGCGUCAGGUGCAGCGUGGGCAGCAUUGUAUCUCUCUUCCAAGGCAGUUUGACAAUAUUUUGUGGAGGCGGUAUCCCUUUUUGUCCAGCAUUCCUCCUUGAACGUCUGAGGGCCUUUGAAGUGGCUGACACCUGUGAGAGGUCUGGGAUGUAAAAUGUUUGGCAGUUCUCUUAAUAUCUAGAACAUAACUUUUAUCUAGCUGCUACUGGGUGGAGCAAUUGUCCAGAGAUCCAUCAUGCCUUACUCAAAUUGGAGGCAACUACUAUAGUUAUUGUAGUUCCAGUGAAAGUAAACAGAAGGUGCGUUGCGGAGGUAUUAGUCGAGGCAGCAAUGGUCAACAGAUGAAUAGCAAAGGUACUUUCCCCAAGGUGGGUGAAUUCAAAACUAGGGGGCAUAUGUUAACAUGACAGUAAAAACUGCUGCUGCUGGAGAAUCUGAGAUAACAAGGUGUUGAGCUGGGUGAGCACAGCAGGCCAAGCACUAUCAGAGGAGCAGCAAGGCUGACAUUUUGGGCUGAGACCCUUCUUCAGAAAAAAGGUCUGAAGAAGGGUCUAGGCCUGAAACAAAAGCCUUUCUGCUCCUCUGAUGCCGCUUGGCCUGCUGUGUUCAUCUAGGGGGCAUUUUUUUAAGGUGCGAGGAGGAAGUUUUAAAAGGGCCCUGAGUGUAGUUCGUAUGUGGAAUAAACUGCUAGAGAAAGUGGUGGAUACAGUACAGUUACAACAUUUAAAAGACAUUUGGACAGUUCCAUGAAUAGGAAAUCUUCAGAGGGAUAUGACCCAAAUGCAGACAAGGGUGAGUAGUUGAGUUUGAGAAAUCUGGUUCAGCAUGGACAAAUUGGAUCAAAGCGUCUGUUUCCAUGCUAUAUGACUCUAUGUCAUCAUACUAUCCAGUAUAAAUAGCACCCUUAUAUUAUGCCCCUUUUUCUUUGUAUUAAUUGCCACACUCAAUUUGAUGUCAUUUGGAAAUUUUUAAGUUUUAUUUUGAUUCUUAAAUCUAAAUCAUUGCAAACGAGGGGUCUAACUAUAAUAUAACCAAACUUGUUACUGAUACAAGUUAGCUAUGAGAAGGAUCAAAGGAAUAUUGAUUGGUGAAGUGAUUAGAUGAGAAGAUAGCAAAUGGAGUAUAAUGUGGUUAAGUUUGAAAUUAUACAAUUUGGUAGGAUGAGAAUGGAAAAAGCAGAUUUUUUGUUCAGCGGUGACAAACUAGUACACGUUGGUAUUGAUGAAUUUGGAGAGCCUAGGACACAAGUCUAGGAAGGUGAACACAGUAUGCAAUUACAAGUUAUAUUUUUAUUGUGCCUUUAAAGUACUGAAACAUUCCAAUGUUCUUCACAGAAGCAUUAUAAAACAAAGAACUAUGCCAAGCCACAUAACGAGAUGGAAACCAAAAAACGUUGUCAAAGAGGCCAUCAUGUGAAGGACGUAGGAGCAGAAGCUGGCCAUUUGGCUCUUUGAGCUUGAUGCUGAUUAGAUGAGGAUGGGCAGGCAGAGGAUUGUUGACCAUAAACAUCAUCUUGGACCAGCUGAUUUAAACAGCAUGUUUCUUUGUUUAUAAUUGCCAGUAAACUCUUCAUAUUUUCUUCCCAAGCUGCAAUUAAUUUGAAAUCUUGCAAAAGAACUGUCUUAACACAAUGGAAUCCACCCAGAACUUGAAUUCCAAAUAGCUCCUUAGAAUGUACAAAUAACUCCAAUCUUUGCCAAUGUUGCAGUUCCAUAGAAUGAUCACCAUUUCAAAACAGCAUGGAAUGUCUUUUAAAAAAAUGCUUGAAAUUUCUACUUGAAGCUUGAGCCAGUUGGCAGGUUGGCAUGGCUACAAGGACCACACUGAUUCAAAAACAUUCGAUUUGAGCACCUCUCAGUUCUGUGGCAGAUGACUCUAACACAACUUCUAUUGGAGAAAUAACUUUUCCAGCCAACAGAAAUGUUUGGUUAAUCCCAUUGCCACCUAAUACAUUGAGAAUCGGUUUUCUACAAGCACCAGUUGCCCUGAAUUACAGAAAAUGGAACUAGAUGAAGUCCCACCUUCACCUUCAUCUCACUCCUGACAACAAGCUUCGAUAACACAAGGGUAUGGUUGAUUUCAUAAUUUAACUACCAUAGGAAAAAGAAUAACCAGUAAAUAUAGGGAGCUCCAGCCAGAUGAACCAUUUAGUGCAACUAACAGCUUGGUAGCCUGCAGUUUGGUCCACUUCUAUGGGGUAUCUCCCAUGUGGCUGAAGAGGAGGUACUAGUCAUCUUCUGUGUAUCUGAAACCAGCUGAGAUGCCUGUGACCUCCAGCCUUGUCUUCCAUUGGCUGCUGCAUCUGCACCAUUCAGGCAGCACAGUGGCUAAGUGGUUAGUACUACUGCCUCACAGCACCAGGGACCAAGGUUCAGUGCUACCCUUGGGUGACUGUGGAGUUUGAACAUUGUUCCCAUAUCUGUGUGGAUUUUUGGGUCCUCCAGUUUCCUCCCCCAGUCCAGAGAUGUGCAGGCUAGGUGAUUUAGCUGUGGAAAAUGUAGCGAUAGGUGUAUGUGGGUAGGAUGCUCUUCAGAGGGUUGAUGCAUACAUGAUGGGCCAAAUGGCCUCCUUCCACAUUGAGGAACAGCCUAAAAGAGUCUUGCAACAUGGAUGUUUACUGAGUUAGAGGGCCAAAGAGGCAAGAGGAAUCUGUGUCAGGGACUGUUUGGAAAUUGCUGUAAAUUAGAAAAGUUUGUUUGAAAGAAUUAGUUUAACUGAGAAAUCCCAGGAAUAAGUGAAAGUCAGGGCCGAUGUAAUAAAGUCUAAAAGUAAGCCAAAGUUGAAUAAGGGAAGUAAAGUUAACAUAAGAGAAAUCAUUUGAAGACAUUGUAACACAGGUCAAUUACAUGGAAUGUGCGGCCUGCAAAAUGUGGUAAGUCAAGCAUCCCACCAGAGUCUGGUGACUGCAAGUGCAAGAAAUUCUUUCAGCUGCAGAACUCUGCUUUGGUCUAGGAGCUGAAAUGACUGCUGGAGACACUAUGACACAGCAGCAAGGCUGAGAGUUACAUGGAUACUAUGUGCAGUGAGGUGGUCUCAUUGCAGCUUAAGGGCCUGAAGGCUGGAAGGGAGUGGGUGACCACCAAGCACUUCAAGAAAAAAAAACAUGCACAAAGUGCAGGGGUAUACUGGGGUCCUGCUCGCAAAUCAAUUUCUGUUUUGGAAGCUGAUGAGGAUGUUGGUUCCUCAAUGGAAUAAGGUCAGAAUCGCAUACAUGGCACCACAGGCAGCUCAGUUCACCGGAGUGGUGUAGGAGGGAACAAUUCUGGUAGGGUAUUCCUGAUUUGGGGCAGACAUGGCAUUUCUGUAUCUGUCGACAUGAUUCCAGGCUGAUAGGUUGUCUCCCUGAUGCAAGGGUCUAGGAUGUCACAGAGCAGCUGCAGGACAUUCUUUUGGGAGACGGUGAACAGCCAGAGAUCACGGGCCAUAUUGGUACGAAUGACUCAGUGACCCUUUCUCAGUUACUUAUAUGCUGCCAGACCAGCUGAGCUUUUCCAACAACUUCUGUAGUUGAUUAGGAAGAGUCAGCAUGAAUUUCUAAAGGAGAAAUAAAAUUUGACUAAUGUACCAAAGUUUUUUUGAGGAGGUAACGGAAAGGCUCAAUAAGGAUAAUGCUGUUAAUGUGGUGUACAUGGAAGUCCAAGGGGCAUUUGACACAGUGCCACCCAACAGACUUGCGAGGAAAGUUAUGGUCAUGGAACAAAAGGGGCAGAAAUGAUGUGGAGUGGAGCUCCCUGGAUGUCAGAAUUAGGAUCCUUGCUUUUCCUGAUACACAUUAAUGAUCUAGAUCUUGGUGGACAGGGACUGUUUCAAAUUUUUCACAUGACACGAAAAUCAAAAUAUAGUAAACUGUGUGAGAAGGGCAGUGUAGAACUCCGAAGGACAAGUUGAUGGAGUGGAUGGAUAGGUGGCAAAUGGGGUUCCAAGCAGAUGGGCGUGAGGUGAUGCAUUUUGGUAGGAAGAACACUGAAAGACAAUAGGAACUUGGGGGCCAAAGGAAAAUACUCCAAAUACCAGAAAUCUGAAACAAAAACAAUGAAUGCUGCAUGAGUUGGAUUGUCUGCCAACCUCCCUGUGGUAGCUGAAGGAUCUCCAAUAUUCAAGAAUUCACCUGGCUCUGAUUCUGUCAAAAGACCCAAGGACCAGCAUCUUUUCUCAGCAAAGCAUGGCUGUGCCUGUCCUUUGUCAACCUGUGGAACUUAAGACACAAAUGAAUCAGCCAUGAUGAAUGAUGGAACAGACUCAAGGGACCCAAUGGCCCUUUUCUGCUCUUGUUUCAGAUGGUCAUAUGUUGCUGUGAAGGAGACUUCCUAUAGCUGACUCUGCUUCAGUUUCUUCCUUUAGCUCACUUGUGAUGUGCUCCUCAGGGAUGCCUGCUUCUCGGUUUUACCUUAUAUUGGAGGAUGGUUAACUUUGUAGUAAUUUAACUGGAAUUUGCUUUGACAAUGUAAGGGAGAGCAAUGGGCCCUCACUCUGCUCACUUCAUACGCAGCUGGCUGAGAGCGGGAGGCUGGUCAUUGGGUGUUGCUACCAUUCACCUUUCCAGAUCUUACCAAGUCAUUAAAUUACUUUGCAAUAUUGGAGCGAUGUCCUCCUGAUCACUGUUCUACUUCUGACUUCUGUAGCACCUCAGUUCAGGACAUUUUGAUGUCUUGAAGGUGAUGUGGUGGGUGGAUGGAGGCUUGGGGGUGCAGAAUUUAUUUACAGGGCUCCAAGAAAAUACCUCUUGUCUUAGUGACUGCCUUGGGGAUGCUUGUCUGUAUUAAGGCUGGCCUUCUAAAAACCUUCCUACGUGGCGGCUCAGUGGUUUGCACUGCAGCCUCACAGCAUCAGGGACCCGGGUUCGAUUCCAGCCUUGGGCACUGUCUGUGUGGAGUUUGCACAUUCUCCCCGUGUCUGCGUGGGUUUCCUCCGGGUGCUCCGGUUUCCUCCCACAGUCCAAAGAUGUGCAGGCUAGGUGGAUCUGCCAUGCUAAAUUACCCAUAGU